rnacentral:rRNA from 1 species
GACGAACGCUGGCGGCGUGCUUAACGCAUGCAAGUCGAACGAGGUCCAUCCAGCUUGCUGGUGAAGACCGAGUGGCGAACGGGUGAGUAACACGUGAGGAACCCACCCCGGAGACCGGGAUAACCCUCCGAAAGGAGAGCUAAUACCGGAUGCCCUCAUCGGAUCGCAUGUUCUGAUGAGGAAAUGGAUUCCGCUCCGGGACGGCCUCGCGGCCUAUCAGCUUGUUGGUGGGGUAACGGCCCACCAAGGCGUCGACGGGUAGCUGGUCUGAGAGGACGGUCAGCCACACUGGGACUGAGACACGGCCCAGACUCCUACGGGAGGCAGCAGCGGGGAAUAUUGCGCAAUGGGCGAAAGCCUGACGCAGCAACGCCGCGUGAGGGAUGAAGGCUUUCGGGUUGUAAACCUCUUUCAGCAGGGACGAUUGUGACGGUACCUGCAGAAGAAGCCCCGGCCAACUACGUGCCAGCAGCCGCCGUAACAC